UACGUAGGGUGCAAGCGUUGUCCGGAAUUAUUGGGCGUAAAGAGCUCGUAGGCGGUCUGUCGCGUCGGAUGUGAAAAUCAGGGCUCAACCCUGGACCUGCAUUCGAUACGGGCAGACUAGAGUUCGGUAGGGGAGACGUGGAAUUCCUGGUGUAGCGGUGAAAUGCGCAGAUAUCAGGAGGAACACCGGUGGCGAAGGCGGGUCUCUGGGCCGAAACUGACGCUGAGGAGCGAAAGCGUGGGGAGCAAACAGG
rnacentral:rRNA from 1 species